UGCUGUGAUGAGCAUUUGCUUACUUCUGACACCUCUUGUAUGAGAAGGGCCUCCCUUCCUUGAGCAGAUUUAGCAACCCUCUGAGCU
rnacentral:snoRNA from 18 species